rnacentral:rRNA from 1 species
CCUACGGGGGGCUGCAGUGGGGAAUUUUGGACAAUGGGGGCAACCCUGAUCCAGCCAUUCCGCGUGAGUGAAGAAGGCCUUCGGGUUGUAAAGCUCUUUCGGCAGGAACGAAACGGUGAGCUCUAACAUAGCUCGCUAAUGACGGUACCUGAAGAAGAAGCACCGGCUAACUACGUGCCAGCAGCCGCGGUAAUACGUAGGGUGCGAGCGUUAAUCGGAAUUACUGGGCGUAAAGCGUGCGCAGGCGGUUGUGUAAGACAGGUGUGAAAUCCCCGGGCUUAACCUGGGAACUGCGCUUGUGACUGCACAGCUAGAGUAUGGCAGAGGGGGGUGGAAUUCCACGUGUAGCAGUGAAAUGCGUAGAGAUGUGGAGGAACACCGAUGGCGAAGGCAGCCCCCUGGGCCAAUACUGACGCUCAUGCACGAAAGCGUGGGGAGCA